rnacentral:rRNA from 1 species
CAAUAGCGUAUAUUAAAGUUGUUGCAGUUAAAAAGCUCGUAGUUGGAUUUCUGGGAGAGUGGCGAUGUCCGCUUAACGUGUGUGCAGCGACGCUCUUCCAUCCUUCUGUUAGCGUCUCUUGGCAUUCAUUUGCUGGUGGCGGGCUCAGAUAUUUUACCUUGAGAAAAUUAGAGUGUUUAAAGCAGGCAUUUGCUAUGAAUACAUUAGCAUGGAAUAAUAAUCUAGGACUUCGGUUCUAUUUUGUUGGUUUCUUAGAUCUGAAGUAAUGAUUGAUAGGGAUAGUUGGGGGUGGCUAGUAUUAAGGGGCCGAGAGGUGGAAAUUCUUGGAUUCUCUUAAGACUAACUUAUGCGAAAGACAUUCACCAAGGAUGUCUUCUUUAAUUCAAGAACGAAAGUUAGGGGGAGUCGAAGACGAUUAGAUACCGU